rnacentral:rRNA from 1 species
CCUACGGGAGGCAGCAGUGGGGAAUAUUGGGCAAUGGAGGAAACUCUGACCCAGCGACGCCGCGUGCGGGAUGAAGGCCUUCGGGUUGUAAACCGCUUUCAGCAGGGAAGAAGCGAAAGUGACGGUACCUGCAGAAGAAGCACCGGCUAACUAUGUGCCAGCAGCCGCGGUAAUACAUAGGGUGCAAGCGUUGUCCGGAAUUAUUGGGCGUAAAGAGCUCGUAGGUGGUUCGUCACGUCGGAUGUGAAAAUCUGGGGCUUAACCCCAGACCUGCAUUCGAUACGGGCGAGCUUGAGUAUGGUAGGGGAGUCUGGAAUUCCUGGUGUAGCGGUGGAAUGCGCAGAUAUCAGGAGGAACACCAAUGGCGAAGGCAGGACUCUGGGCCAUUACUGACACUGAGGAGCGAAAGCGUGGGGAGCGAACAGGAUUAGAUACCCUGGUAGUCCACGCCGUAAACGGUGGGCACUAGUUGUGGGGACCUUCCACGGUCUCUGCGACGCAGCUAACGCAUUAAGUGCCCCGCCUGGGGAGUACGAUCGCAGAUUAAACUCAAAGGAAUUGACGG